AUGUAUAACACUUGUAUAUUUUAUGUUUAUUAUGAGUAUUUCUGUAUUUUGAAUUUGGCGCUCUGCAAUUUCACCGGAUAUUGGCCAGGUGGGACGGUACCCUAGAGAGGUUAACCGACCCUCUCUGCCCAUUCAUUCAUGUUUAUCUGUUGGCCCCAGCCCUGAACUCAGGCCCUGUGUGUAGUUAACCGACCCUCUCUGCCCAUUCAUCACCAUUUUACCUGUUGUUGUUGUCUUAUCUGAUUAGCUGUUGUUGUCUUACCCGUUGUUGUCUUAGCUAGCUCUCCCAAUCAACACCUGUGAUUGCUUUACGCCUCGCUUUAUGUCUCUCUCUAAUGUCAAUAUGCCUUGUAUACUGUUGUUUAGGGUAGUUAUCACUGUUUUAGUUUACCUAGUCCGACGGUACAUGCCUCAGAUACCUCUUUUGUCCCACCUCCCACACAUGCGGUGACCUCACCCACUUUAACUAGUGCGUCCAGAGAUGCAACCUCUCUUAUCAUCACUCAGUGCCUGGGUUUACCUCCACUGUACCCGCACCCCACCAUACCCCUGUCUGCACAUUAUGCCCUGAAUCUAUUCUACCACGCCCAGAAAUCUGCUCCUUUUAUUCUCUGUUCCCAAAGCACCAGACGACCAGUUCUUAUAGCCUUUAGCCGUACCCUCAUCCUCCUCCUCCUCUGUUCCUCUGGUGAUGUAGAGGUUAACCCAGGCCCUGCGUGUCCCCAGGCAUCCUCAUUU
rnacentral:lncRNA from 1 species